rnacentral:rRNA from 1 species
GUGAUCCUACGGGGCGCAGCAGUAGGGAAUCUUCCACAAUGGACGAAAGUCUGAUGGAGCAACGCCGCGUGAGUGAAGAAGGGUUUCGGCUCGGAAAGCUCUGUUGGUAGUGAAGAAAGAUAGAGGGAGUAACUGGCCUUUAUUUGACGGUAAUUACUUAGAAAGUCACGGCUAACUACGUGCCAGCAGCCGCGGUAAUACGUAGGUGGCAAGCGUUGUCCGGGUUUAUUGGGCGUAAAGCGAGAGCAGGCGGUUCAA